rnacentral:rRNA from 1 species
UACGUAGGGGGCAAGCGUUAUCCGGAUUUACUGGGUGUAAAGGGGGCGCAGACGGCGAUGCAAGCCAGGAGUGAAAGCCCGGGGCCCAACUCCGGGACUGCUCUUGGAACUGCGUGGCUGGAGUGCAGGAGGGGCAGGCGGAAUUCCUGGUGUAGCGGUGAAAUGCGUAGAUAUCAGGAGGAACACCGGUGGCGAAGGCGGCCUGCUGGACUGCAACUGACGUUGAGGCCCGAAAGCGUGGGGAGCAAACAGG